UAGCAAAUAUAAUGGGCUUUGGAAGAGCAAAUAUAAUUGGCCCUGGAACAGCAAAUAUAAUUGGCCCUGGAACGACUAAUAUAAUUGGCCCUGGAACAGCAAAUAUAAUACCACCACACAAUAGUUCUUUUGAGGAAGAGAAAGGGUUCAAAAUUCUAAAGAUGGAGAUCAUCCUAAAUAUGAAGCAGUGGGAACGUGACUUGUAAUUUUAGUUUGUGGUACUUGGAAUCAUGUUUCUUUCUCAUGAAAUCAUGUGCUCAAAGGGUCGUCAUCCCCAUGGUUAUGGAAAUGUAUAGAGUUCAUUCAUCUUUUAUUUAUUUGCUAUUGUUUCUUUAUUUUCUUGUUUUCCAUGUUUAGAAAAAAAAGAAAAAAGAAAAAAAGGUAGCUGUAGUAGCAAUAAUAAUAGCAGUACUACUACUUGUGUGAUGCAUUUCUUUGGAGUGUUAUAAACUACCUCUACUUGGUGUAGAAAGACCAUAUUACUAUUUGAAUGAAGUUGUGCUUAUUA